rnacentral:rRNA from 1 species
ACGUAGGGGGCAAGCGUUAUCCGGAAUUAUUGGGCGUAAAGAGUGCGUAGGCGGUUUUUUAAGUGUGAGGUGAAAUGCCAUAGCUUAACUAUUGAACUCCUUGCGAACUGGAAGACUUGAGUGCAGGAGAGGAAAGUGGAAUUCCUAGUGUAGCGGUGAAAUGCGUAGAGAUUAGGAGGAACACCAGUGGCGAAGGCGACUUACUGGACUGUAACUGACGCUGAGGCACGAAAGCGUGGGGAGCAAACAG